UUCCGUCUCUCCGCUCUUUCUAUUUCUCUCUCGAAUGAUUAGAGAAACUAGGAUUUUGCUUGAAGAUUUUUCAAAAUCGAAGAUUUAUUAAACAAGUAGAAGAAUCUUAGAAGCAAUAACACAGUAAAUGAGACGAUGAUUCGUAGUAGAUUGAAGAAAUCAUCAGACCUGAUUCUGUUUGUCGUAGAAUUUGGGGGUUUCAUCUUUUUUCCUAAUUCAUGAAAUCUUAAAGUUGCAGUUGAUUCUAGUGUUCUACAAAAUUCUGAAACUGAUGGGUAUGAUUGAAAACAACUAGUAAUGUUAAUGCACCAUCAUCAGCCCUUUUCGGAUGCAUAUGUAUAUAAUCUUCAAUGUUAAGCGAUGGUUCUGAAUUGGCGUUAUGAACUAGAUAGGUUUGUUGUUUUAUCAAUAUGCAGUAGCAUCAACUUAGACAUUGAAUGAUUUACUUCUGCUGCGUUCUAGAUGUUUCAUGAUUAGUGUCAGUGUCACUGCCACAUUGAGAAUUGUGUUGUGUUUUGUGCAUUUUUUGAUUAACAUUGCA